rnacentral:rRNA from 1 species
CAGUAGCCGCGGGAAUACGGAGGGGGCUAGCGUUGUUCGGAAUUACUGGGCGUAAAGCGCACGUAGGCGCACUGGAAAGUCAGAGGUGAAAUCCCAGGGCUCAACCUUGGAACUGCCUUUGAAACUAUCAGUCUGGAGUUCGAGAGAGGUGAGUGGAAUUCCGAGUGUAGAGGUGAAAUUCGUAGAUAUUCGGAGGAACACCAGUGGCGAAGGCGGCUCACUGGCUCGAUACUGACGCUGAGGUGCGAAAGCGUGGGGAGCAAACAGGAUUAGAUACCCGGGUAGUCCCUGUCUCUUAUAC